rnacentral:rRNA from 1 species
GAGGCAGCAGUGGGGAAUAUUGGACAAUGGGGGAAACCCUGAUCCAGCAAUGCCGCGUGGGUGAAGAAGGCUCGCGGGUUGUAAAGCCCUUUCAGUAGUGAAGAAAAGCUGACGGUUAAUACCCGUUAGUCUUGACAUUAGCUACAGAAGAAGCACCGGCUAACUCUGUGCCAGCAGCCGCGGUAAUACAGAGGGUGCGAGCGUUAAUCGGAAUUACUGGGCGUAAAGCGCGCGUAGGUGGUUUGUUAAGUCGGAUGUGAAAGCCCCGGGCUCAACCUGGGAAUUGCAUUCGAUACUGGCAGGCUAGAGUAUGGUAGAGGGAAGUGGAAUUCCAGGUGUAGCGGUGAAAUGCGUAGAUAUCUGGAGGAACAUCAGUGGCGAAGGCGACUUCCUGGACCAAUACUGACACUGAGGUGCGAAAGCGUGGGUAGCGAACAGGAUUAGAUACCCUGGUAGUCCAUUCAGUGAACGUUGAGAAGUAGGUGUUGGGAAGUUUAAGUUGUUAGUAUCGUAGCUAACGCGUUAAGUUCUCCGCGUGGGGAGUACGGCCGCAAGGUUAAAACUCAAAGG